rnacentral:lncRNA from 1 species
GUGGUAAGGCUGGUGUUUUGAAGUACAGUGUGAUUUCAUUGGAUGAACACACUUGUUUUACUGACUCAUGUUUUAUAUAUUAAGUUUAGGAACUGCGGUUUCAGUAAUGGCCAAGAUUCCACUGUUGGAGUGCCUAACCAGACAUAGUUACAGGGAAUGUUUGGGAAGACCGGAUUCUUUAAAUGAACAUGAAGGCUCAGAGAAAGCUGAUAUGAAAAGAUCUACUGAACUGGUGCUCUCUCCUGAUAUGCCUAGAACAACUAACACAUCCUUGUUAACCUCAUUUCACAAGUCAGUGGAGCAUGUAGCUCCAG